rnacentral:rRNA from 1 species
UACGUAGGGUGCAAGCGUUAAUCGGAAUUACUGGGCGUAAAGGGUGCGCAGGUGGUUCUGUAAGUCAGACGUGAAAUCCCCGGGCUUAACCUGGGAACUGCGUUUGAAACUACAGGACUAGAGUGUGGCAGAGGGAGGUGGAAUUCCAUGUGUAGCAGUGAAAUGCGUAGAGAUAUGGAAGAACAUCGAUGGCGAAGGCAACCUCCUGGGUUAACACUGACGCUCAUGCACGAAAGCGUGGGGAGCAAACAGG